ACUUAAAUUGAAGAGUUUGAUCAUGGCUCAGAUUGAACGCUGGCGGCAGGCCUAACACAUGCAAGUCGAACGGUAGCACAGAGAGCUUGCUCUCGGGUGACGAGUGGCGGACGGGUGAGUAAUGUCUGGGAAACUGCCUGAUGGAGGGGGAUAACUACUGGAAACGGUAGCUAAUACCGCAUAACGUCGCAAGACCAAAGAGGGGGACCUUCGGGCCUCUUGCCAUCAGAUGUGCCCAGAUGGGAUUAGCUAGUAGGUGGGGUAACGGCUCACCUAGGCGACGAUCCCUAGCUGGUCUGAGAGGAUGACCAGCCACACUGGAACUGAGACACGGUCCAGACUCCUACGGGAGGCAGCAGUGGGGAAUAUUGCACAAUGGGCGCAAGCCUGAUGCAGCCAUGCCGCGUGUAUGAAGAAGGCCUUCGGGUUGUAAAGUACUUUCAGCGGGGAGGAAGGUGUUGUGGUUAAUAACCACAGCAAUUGACGUUACCCGCAGAAGAAGCACCGGCUAACUCCGUGCCAGCAGCCGCGGUAAUACGGAGGGUGCAAGCGUUAAUCGGAAUUACUGGGCGUAAAGCGCACGCAGGCGGUCUGUCAAGUCGGAUGUGAAAUCCCCGGGCUCAACCUGGGAACUGCAUUCGAAACUGGCAGGCUAGAGUCUUGUAGAGGGGGGUAGAAUUCCAGGUGUAGCGGUGAAAUGCGUAGAGAUCUGGAGGAAUACCGGUGGCGAAGGCGGCCCCCUGGACAAAGACUGACGCUCAGGUGCGAAAGCGUGGGGAGCAAACAGGAUUAGAUACCCUGGUAGUCCACGCCGUAAACGAUGUCGACUUGGAGGUUGUGCCCUUGAGGCGUGGCUUCCGGAGCUAACGCGUUAAGUCGACCGCCUGGGGAGUACGGCCGCAAGGUUAAAACUCAAAUGAAUUGACGGGGGCCCGCACAAGCGGUGGAGCAUGUGGUUUAAUUCGAUGCAACGCGAAGAACCUUACCUACUCUUGACAUCCAGAGAACUUUCCAGAGAUGGAUUGGUGCCUUCGGGAACUCUGAGACAGGUGCUGCAUGGCUGUCGUCAGCUCGUGUUGUGAAAUGUUGGGUUAAGUCCCGCAACGAGCGCAACCCUUAUCCUUUGUUGCCAGCGGUCCGGCCGGGAACUCAAAGGAGACUGCCAGUGAUAAACUGGAGGAAGGUGGGGAUGACGUCAAGUCAUCAUGGCCCUUACGAGUAGGGCUACACACGUGCUACAAUGGCGCAUACAAAGAGAAGCGACCUCGCGAGAGCAAGCGGACCUCAUAAAGUGCGUCGUAGUCCGGAUUGGAGUCUGCAACUCGACUCCAUGAAGUCGGAAUCGCUAGUAAUCGUAGAUCAGAAUGCUACGGUGAAUACGUUCCCGGGCCUUGUACACACCGCCCGUCACACCAUGGGAGUGGGUUGCAAAAGAAGUAGGUAGCUUAACCUUCGGGAGGGCGCUUACCACUUUGUGAUUCAUGACUGGGGUGAAGUCGUAACAAGGUAACCGUAGGGGAACCUGCGGUUGGAUCACCUCCUUACCUUAAAGAA
rnacentral:rRNA from 3 species